UUUCACUUUCACAUUGCAUGUUAAAGACAAGAAAGAAAAGCCAUGGAAAAUGCGGGUUUCUGAAGUCAAAAAGGAGGGGGUUUAUCCAAUCGGUGACUAUGGGCACGAUAAAUGGCUUGUUGGAUGGAUUAUUAGAGGAAAGAGUGCUGAACCAGGAAGAGAUGGAGAAAGUAAGAAGAGAAAAUUACACAGCUAUGGAUAAGGCCCGAGAUUUGAUUGAUUCGGUCAUUCGGAAAGGGCACCAGGCAAGCCAAAUAUUUAUCAAUCAAAUUGUUGAAGUUGACCCUCAACUCGCACACAAUCUGGGAUUCUCCUAAGGAAAUUAUCAUACUACAGAAGAGUACCAAGCAGAGAUUCUUCCUUUUCCAGUAGAGAGAUCCCUGAAGAACAAAAAAAAACCCCUCUUCAUUCCUUCCUUUCUUCCUUUCAUCUGUAAUGCCUACUGUCAGGCCUAUUAACUAUGAAAUUUGGCUUUAUUAUAAUCCUCAGGGACCACCCUCAUGCGUGCUGUUCAUUUUUCACUGAAGCGUCAAUAUGUGGCACACAACUCGGCUGAAUGAGGAAGAGAGCACAUGCUUCUCACCCAAGCUCUGCAAUAUUGUUUGCCAAGUUUCUGAAAUCAACUAUUUCUUUUAACCUGGUCUUCUUAUUCAUAAAAUCUGAAUCAGUGUAUAUUUAACCUGUUUAAAGAACACAUUUUUUUUAUGAAAGAUAAUGAAAUAAAGUAUAUGAAAGCUUCUGGAGCAAUUGACAAAGAAGUAUAUUUUUACAUUUCAAGCUUCUGAAAUAUGGCUCAUGACUACUAUACACAGCAGGCACUGUGAUGUGGUUUUACCCAUACCAUUCUACCACAAAAAGUUACAACAAUUAUGAAUCCUCACCCCACCUAUAUGCACACACACACAGAUGAGAUAACAGAAGUACAAAAAUAUUAAAUAAAUUAUCAAGAGGAAUGGAA